rnacentral:tRNA from 1 species
GCUCCUGUGGCGUAAUUGGAAAACGCGAUCGCCUCAAAAGCGAUUUAUUGUGAGUUCGAGUCUCACCGGGAGUACCU